UCCGUCUGUGCGCACCUCGGGACACGCCCACGGGUGCGCACAUCCAGGGACGCGCCGCGCGCGUCCCCGCCCUGCAGCAGCCACCAGCUGCAAUCACUCACCGGCAAUCAUCACACCUGAAACUGAUGAGGGCGAGCUGGUUAAAAGACCAGUGGACCCUAGGAUCGGCGCGGGAACUUAGUUUUCUCAUGGUGUACCUACCCUCCGUCGCCUGGAAAGUGAGCUGUGCGUCUCACUUUCCCCUGGAUCUCCCUCUGGACUCUGACUGCCUCCUUCGUUCCUCGACCUUUCUCUCGCCCCUGGAUUCUGACGCCUCGCUCUCGCCCCGGAUCAUCUGCCUGCCCCCUGGACUUCCUCGUAUCUCGUUCAACACGUUGGUAACACUCACUUCAGUUAAAUUACACACAUAGUCUUACACUACACACUCUUGUAUUCUAGUUCACACUCCAUUUCCUUAGUUUAGUUGGAUUGUUUGUUGUUAUUAUUAUUAUAUAUAUUUAUUAUAUAUAAUAAAUAUUGUACAUAC